rnacentral:rRNA from 1 species
AUGAACGCUAGCGGUGCGCCUAACACAUGCAAGUCGAGCGAUAUAGCGGCGAACGGGUGAGUAACACGUUGAUAACUUGCCCCGGAGUGAGGGAUAGCCCGCCGAAAGGUGGAUUAAUACCGCAUAAUAAUGGGGGGACAUAUGUCAUUCCCAUUUAAAGUCUUCGGACGCUUCGGGAGAGGUCUGCGUAGUAUCAGUUAGUUGGUGGGGUAAUGGCCUACCAAGACUAUGACGCUUAGCUGGUCUGAGAGGAUGAUCAGCCACAAUGGAACUGAGACAAGGUCCAUACUCCUACGGGAGGCAGCAGUGAGGAAUCUUCCGCAAUGGGCGAAAGCCUGACGGAGCGACACCGCGUGAAGGAUGAAGGCCUUUUGGUUGUAAACUUCUUUUCUGAGGGAAUAAAUGAUGAAGUUACCUCAGGAAUAAGCACCGGCUAACUACGU